rnacentral:lncRNA from 1 species
GGGGCGGCCGGGACGAGGAGGGGCGACGACGAGCUGCGAGCAAAGAUGUGCCCCGGGACCCCCGGCACCUUCCAGUGGAUUUCCUUGCGGAAAGGAUGUUGGCGGUCCCUGUGACCUGUGGAGACACGGCCAGAUCUGCCCUCCAGACCAUAGCUGUCUGCAGUGCAGGAAGCCAACUAUUAAGGGGAAACAAAAGUGUUCUUAGGAGUCCUGCUGUCACUGUGGAUUGAGCCGGUGAAGCCCUGAGGGAUUUCAUCGCUGAGGUGGAUGGAGAAGCAGCUGGGGGCCUUGGCUGUAAGGACCCCUAAGGGCCUGAUCUUUUGGCCAGAAGGAGAUUAAAAAGAUGCCCCUCAAGAUGGCUGUGCCUGUCAGCUGCAUGGAGCUUCGUUCAAGUAUUUUCUGAGCCUGAUGGAUUUACAGUGAUCUUCAGUGGUCUGGGGAAUAACGCUGGUGGAACCAUGCACUGGAAUGACACACGCCCGGCACAUUUCAGGAUACUAAAAGUGGUUUUAAGGGAGGCUGUGGCUGAAUGCCUCAUGGAUUCUUACAGCUUGGAUGUCCAUGGGGGACGAAGGACUGCAGCUGGCUGAGAGGGUUGAGAUCUCUGUUUACUUAGAUCUCUGCCAACUUCCUUUGGGUCUCCCUAUGGAAUGUAAGACCCCGACUCUUCCUGGUGAAGCAUCUGAUGCACGUUCCAUCCGGCGCUCAGCUGGGCUUGAGGACUUCGCAGCUGACCAUACUCCCUGGAGCCUUCUCCCGAGGUGCGCGGGUGACCUUGGCACAUACAGCCAUCAUGAUGGUACUUUAAGUGGAGGCUGAAUCAUCUCCCCUUUGAGCUGCUUGGCACGUGGCUCCCUUGGUGUUCCCCUUUUACUGCCAGGACACUGAGAUUUGGAGAGAAUCCUGUUACACCUGGGAUUUAGGCACUUUCAAUCUGAAAAAAUACAUAUCCUUUCAGCACUCUGGACGGACUUGAGAACUGUCCUUACGUGACCUAAAGCUGGAGUAUUUUGAGAUUGGAGAAUUAAGAGUGUGGGCACCCUGGCUUCAAGCUCACGAGAAACCAGGUCGGGAUUUAAACAAUGUUGGGUUAAAGCAAAGUUUCAUAAAGACAGAAUCAAGAAAAAAAGAAAGAGAAA